CCUACGGGAGGCAGCAGUGGGGAAUUUUGGACAAUGGGCGAAAGCCUGAUCCAGCAAUGCCGCGUGCAGGAAGAAGGCCUUCGGGUUGUAAACUGCUUUUGUACGGAACGAAACGGUCUGCUUUAAUACAGUGGGCUAAUGACGGUACCGUAAGAAUAAGCACCGGCUAACUACGUGCCAGCAGCCGCGGUAAUACGUAGGGUGCGAGCGUUAAUCGGAAUUACUGGGCGUAAAGCGUGCGCAGGCGGUUAUAUAAGACAGUUGUGAAAUCCCCGGGCUCAACCUGGGAAUUGCAUCUGUGACUGUAUAGCUAGAGUACGGUAGAGGGGGAUGGAAUUCCGCGUGUGGCAGUGAAAUGCGUAGAUAUGCGGAGGAACACCGAUGGCGAAGGCAAUCCCCUGGACCUGUACUGACGCUCAUGCACGAAAGCGUGGGGAGCAAACAGGAUUAGAUACCCUGGUAGUCCACGCCCUAAACGAUGUCAACUGGUUGUUGGGUGCAUUAGUACUCAGUAACGAAGCUAACGCGUGAAGUUGACCGCCUGGGGAGUACGGCCGCAAGGUUGAAACGUNAAAUUGAAUUGACGG
rnacentral:rRNA from 1 species